rnacentral:rRNA from 1 species
UACGUAGGGUGCAAGCGUUAAUCGGAAUGACUGGGCGUAAAGGGUGUGUAGGCGGUUCCUUAAGUUUGCUGUGAAAUCCCCAGGCUCAACUUGGGAACUGCAUCCGAUACUGGAUGGCUUGAAUUCGGGAGAGGGAUGCAGAAUUCCAGGUGUAGCGGUGAAAUGCGUAGAGAUGUGGAGGAACACCGAUGGCGAAGGCAGCCCCCUGGGCUGAGAUUGACGCUCAGGCACGAAAGCGUGGGGAGCAAACAGG